UUAAUUAAAUUGGGCUUUCUUAUUUUUAAUUAAUUGAACUAUUAUUAGUUUGAUUAAUUUAUUUAAAGGAUAAUUUUUAUAAUAAUAUUAAAUUAUUAUUAAGUGCAUAUUUUAAGUAAUUACUUAUCAUAUGCUAAGCAUGACAUGACAUUUCAUUUGCAUCAUGAAAUAAAAAGUAUUUAUGAUUUAAUUGGUUUUAUUUAUAAUUCCAAUUAUUAAAGAAAGAUGAGUAAGAAUAUUGUUGGUGUUCUUAACUCAAGAGAAAUGUUUUUAAUUAUUUAUUCAUUAAAAACCCGGCUAAGUGAAUCAUAGAAUGUUAAGCACUACACCAUGACUUAAGAUUAGAUUCAAGGAGACCUAUUAAGAAUAGAAUUUCUUGUAGGCUUUGUGGACCAAGGGGAUUAGCACUGCUUUCCCAAGACAGGUUAUGUGAUUAUGAUCUUCAGGCUUUGCCUAUCCAGGUUGAGCAGUUGAUGGAAUGGAAUGAUGUUGAGCGGGUGUUCCUUUGACAUUUCAAGAAAUGUAACCUUGAGUAUACAUCUUCAUAUGUAUAUCUCACACGUUUUCCGCUGCAAAACACUUUGAUUAGGAUAACUUUAUGUUAUGAAAUUGUGACACGUGUUAUUGGGUAACCCACCUUAAUCAGUUCUCAUUUAUGUGUAUGUUUUAUAAGUAUCCAAAUAAUCAUAUAUGAUCCUAGCAUUUUAUCUAUGAGUGACAUUUCCAUA